rnacentral:rRNA from 1 species
GGCGUCCGAGUUGUAAUUUGUAGAGGAUGCUAUUGAGUUGUCACCGGUCUAAGUUCCUUGGAACAGGACGUCAUAGAGGGUGAGAAUCCCGUAUGUGACCGGCCAGACGCUCUCUGUAUAGCUCCUUCGACGAGUCGGGUUGUUUGGGAAUGCAGCCCUAAAUGGGAGGUAAAUUUCUUCUAAAGCUAAAUACCGGCCAGAGACCGAUAGCGCACAAGUAGAGUGAUCGAAAGAUGAAAAGCACUUUGGAAAGAGAGUUAAAAAGCACGUGAAAUUGUUGAAAGGGAAGCGCUUGCAAUCAGUCUCGACGGCGGCUGUUCGGCCUCUCUUCUGAGUGGUUUAUUCAGUCGCCGCCGGGCCAGCAUCAGUUCUGGCGGUCGGAUAAAGACGCGGGGAAUGUAGCUCCCCUCGGGGAGUGUUAUAGCCUCGCGUGCAAUACGGCCCGCCGGGACUGAGGUCCGCGCUUCGGCUAGGAUGCUGGCGAAAUGGUUGUAAGCGGCCCGUCUUGAAACACGGACCAAGGAGUCUAACAUCUAUGCGAGUGUUUGGGUGUCAAACCCGUACGCGUAAUGAAAGUGAACGGAGGUGGGAACCGCAAGGUGCACCAUCGACCGAUCCUGAUGUCUUCGGAUGGAUUUGAGUAAGAGCAUAGCUGUUGGGACCCGAAAGAUGGUGAANUAUGCCUGAAUAGGGUGAAGCCAGAGGAAACUCUGGUGGAGGCUCGCAGCGGUUCUGACG